GUGCACAGUGGCCAGGGGACGUUUCAGAGCUAUGCUGGAAACAGCAUAGCAAGUUGAAAUAAGGCUAGUCCGUUAUCAACUUGAAAAAGUGGCACCGAGUCGGUGCUUUUUUU
rnacentral:sRNA from 2 species